rnacentral:misc_RNA from 1 species
GAUGAAGAACGUAGCAAAAUGCGAUACUUGGUGUGAAUUGCAGAAUCCCGUGAACCAUCGAGUUUUUGAACGCAAGUUGCGCCCGAAGCCUUUUGGCCGAGGGCACGUCUGCCUGGGCGUCACGCAUCGCGUCGCCCCCCACAAUUCUCCGUAAAAGGAACAUGUGUUUUGGGGGCGGAUAUUGGUCUCCCGUGCUCAUGGCGUGGUUGGCCGAAAUAGGAGUCCUUUCGAUGGACGCACGAACUAGUGGUGGUCGUAAAAACCCUCGUCUUUUGUUUCGUGCUGUUGCUCGCAAGGUAAACUCUUUAAAAACCCCAAUGUGUCGUCUCUUGACGACGCUUCGACCGCGACCCCAGGUCAGGCGGGACUACCCGCUGAGUUUAAGCAUAUCAAUAAGCGGAGGA